UUUCCGUAGGUGAACCUGCGGAAGGAUCAUUACUGAGUGAGGGCCCUCUGGGUCCAACCUCCCACCCGUGUUUAUUAUACCUUGUUGCUUCGGUGAGCCCGCCUCACGGCCGCCGGGGGGCAUCUGCCCCCGGGCCCGCGCCCACCGAAGACACCUAAAACUCUGUAUGAAGAUUGCAGUCUGAGCAAAAACUAAAUAAGUUAAAACUUUCAACAACGGAUCUCUUGGUUCCG
rnacentral:misc_RNA from 1 species